rnacentral:misc_RNA from 1 species
CACAUAUUGGACCAAUUAAACAUCUAAAGACUUUUGGCAACUAAAUACUAGGAUGUUAUCUAAAAUCCACACAAGUAGUACUAACAAUUUUUUUUUUUAGAACUGUACAAACCCUAUGGUACAUGCACUGUAGUAUGGUUACAUAUUAUUAUAGAAUUAGUACAAUUACAUGUAAUAUCAAGGAAUUUUUUUAAAAUGAUACACGCUGAAAAUCUUUUUUUUCUAUCAAAUACAUGCAUGUUUAUGCAAGGUAACAAGAGGAAUAGUUGUGUUUUUUAUAGUCAUUUAUGACGGGAGUUGCAACAGCAAAGUCUGAAUUCAUGUACUGUCAUACACUCGUUUAUGUACCAUAUCUGUAUUAUUAAAUGCUUUAUUUAAGGCAUUUUUCUUUGUUUUUUCACAUUUUCAUUUUAAUACAACCAUUCAGUCAGUUGCUAAAUAUUUGAAUGCCAUAAAUAAGAUGGAAUCUCCUAUGUCCAUAUGCUGUGUUACAGUAGUUUUGUAGUUAUUGUAGCAUGACAAGGUUUGUCAUAAAUAGGUAUACAUCCCAAGAAUGGUUAGAUUUGCUUGUUAUGAAGAUUAUUUACUUCAAUUGCUGUCGGUUUUUCUUUUUGUUUUUUUUUAACAUGAUAUGUUGAUAUGAUAUAUGAGAAGCAUGUUAAGUAAAUUGGUUUUGCUAUAUUUAAAUUCAUUCGACAAAAAUGCUAUACUGAAAGUUUUAUUUAUAUAAAGUUAUUCAAAAUUUAUAUACUAAAGUAAAAUCAUGUCCUUUUAUUAAAGUGAAGUUCUACAACCUCCCUUUUAAUCCCAGUUUGGUACUGUUAAACAAUAUUGUUGCAUCAAGUACCGAUACGAUUUUAGUUGUUAACGUUAUUUGUUCUUUACAUUUCCUGGGAUUUGUUCAAUGUAUAAAUUUUAAUGAAUAAAAAUGUCUUUCAUCACUU